rnacentral:lncRNA from 1 species
AUGCUGCAGAGGCGCCGGUGUCUUUCAGAAACGGUGACGGAGGCAGAACACAACAAGCUGAUCCAUUCCCGGCCUCCUAUUGUCCCACAGCGGCCGACUGUGCUGCAGACGCACCGCCGCCAUGUGCAUGCUCGUUUAAAGGCUCGCGGAGGUGCUGGAGACAGCCGGGGCCAUGGGGUCAGCGCCCGUGGAGGAUGGGCUCCGUCUGUUCACGGCCGAGGUUUCCACACCUGUCCGGCCCCCCUGCCGCUCCACGCCUCCACUCUCAAGUGCAGACGCAGAAUCAACAGCAGAAAUGGAAGUUCUGUGCCGACGAAGCAGCUCCGGCCGGCGGCCAAUAAACCCAUAAUGAGGUGGAAUGAGACGCACGGAUCCAAAGCAAGUAUUCCUCCUGAUAUUCAGCAGGAGAUAAUUGUUUCUUUCUGCAUAUUACAAUCCCAAAAACGUGUCCCGCAGCAGACAAUCUCUGCUGGUGACACAGAGCAGCUCUGAUAAGCAGCUGAGGACCACGGGUCCGUGAGCCGCCGGCGCCAAUAUCUGAGGCAAACAGGAUAACAACCGUGCCGCUGAAACCACCACGUGGAGAAGCUCUAAUCACACCAGUCUGGGCAGGAACGGCAUUCGAUUCAGCUGGCAACAGGAAUCAAUCCGCUACAAUAACAGUGUCUACCUGAUGAUUUUAGAGGAAUUAUUGGACAUAAAAGAUAAGAAUGGCUGUCGAACCCUGGAAUGGCUCUGUUAUGGCUCUAUAAUGACUCUGGACACCUGCUGGAGGUGACGACAAAUGUCAGAGAGGCAGUCGGGUGUCUUUAUGUGGAAAUAACCACAAAGCCAAUAACCAUCGUCCCCGCUGAGCCAACCAAGACCAAAGACUUGAUUAGCUAACCCUGAAACAUCCACAUUUGUAUCACUAUUUAAGCCGAGCGUGCCCCCCCCCCCCCACGUCCCCCCCCCCGUCAUGCUUCUCUUCAGGACCUGCUGAAGACCGCGAGGAUCCAACCACUCUUUGUUUUCUGCGGUUUUCUUCCUUUAAAUACAC